rnacentral:rRNA from 1 species
GCCUAAUACAUGCAAGUCGAACGAGAAGUCAAGUGCUUGCACUUGACUGAAAGUGGCGCACGGGUGCGUAACGCGUAUGCAACCUACCCUUAACAGGGGGAUAGCCCGGGGAAACUCGGAUUAAUACCCCAUAGUAUUAUUGAUAGGCAUCUAUUAAUACUUAAAGAUUUAUCGGUUAAGGAUGGGCAUGCGUCUGAUUAGUUAGUUGGUAGUGUAAUGGACUACCAAGACCAUGAUCAGUAGGGGUUCUGAGAGGAUGAUCCCCCACACUGGCACUGAGAUACGGGCCAGACUCCUACGGGAGGCAGCA